GUAAGCAGAAUAGUUUCUGAGCCUCCAGCAGUAGGAGUUUGGGGACUUUGACGUCAGAGCUAGGAUACUUCCCGCACCAGGUCCUCUCUGGAGAGAAUCUGAUUGCUUCAUCCUCGGGCAGGUGUCCACCUCCUGCCCACUUAGCUGUGGCUAAGGGGUCGAGUGGCAGAGGGGAUCUUGGCAGCACCUCCCAGCAUCCACUCGAUCAACGCACUGCACUGCCUGCUCUUCCUCGUCAUAGAGUCUGUGUCUCGAAGACUUUGGGCUCCGCGACAGCUCCCUUUUUCAAGUCUCAAAUAUGCCUGGAUUGGUGGGGAGGGGUAUCUACAGCUUAGAUUUCAUUAUCAGUUAAUUAGCAGCUGGUUUAACUGUCAGCCCCUCCUGGGGUCUUUUGCUAGCAUCAGAGAACACUAAUGGGACAGACGACAUCAAGACUGGAUGGGACAAGUGACAAGAGGUCUACCAUGAAGCAGAAGGAGAAGCUGAGAGGGAGGGAAAGUCACAUUCCUCUUUUCCUCCCUGAGCUCAAGGCAGAUUCUGCCUGGGGUGAGGGUAGGAGAGAACAGGGCAAUGUGGGGGUUUUAAGUCAGACUUUGCCAACCUCACAAUUUUGCCCAAGGCCAAUCCUACCUCAGACAUCCCCUCUUCCUCUUGUUUGAACUUCUAAUUUUCUGUUUGCCAAGAUGGCUGCCUGUUCAGAUGAAUGAAAGAUCACAGUUUGAUCUGACCCAGAG
rnacentral:lncRNA from 1 species